rnacentral:rRNA from 1 species
CAAGGUCUCCGUAGGUGAACCUGCGGAGGGAUCAUUACACAACGAAAAUAUGAAGGCUUUGGCUUCGCGGCCGGCUGAAAUAUUUUUUUCACCCAUGUCUUUUGCGCACUUGUUGUUUCCUGGGCGGGUUCGCCCGCCACCAGGACCAAACCAUAAACCUUUUUUUUAAUGCAGUUGCAAUCAGCGUCAGUAAAAAAUAAUGUAAUUAUUACAACUUUCAACAACGGAUCUCUUGGUUCUGGCAUCGAUGAAGAACGCAGCGAAAUGCGAUACGUAGUGUGAAUUGCAGAAUUCAGUGAAUCAUCGAAUCUUUGAACGCACAUUGCGCCCUUUGGUAUUCCAAAGGGCAUGCCUGUUCGAGCGUCAUUUGUACCUUCAAGCUUUGCUUGGUGUUGGGCGUUUUUUGUCUCCCUCUUGCUGGGAGACUCGCCUUAAAACGAUUGGCAGCCGGCCUACUGGUUUCGGAGCGCAGCACAUAUUUUGCACUCUGUGUCAGGAGAAAAGGACGGUAAUCCAUCAAGACUCUACAAAUUUUAACUUUUGACCUCGGAUCAGGUAGGGAUACCCGCUGAACUUAAGCAU